ACUUUUUUCUUCACAAUUCUUUCCAAAUACAUAAAUAUUUUGCAGUAUUCCAAAUUUCCUUAGAUGUUUUUUAUUCCCUCUCUUAUGUGGGUGAGUGAAUCAUUUCAUUGAUCAGGACUCUUGAUGAACAAGCACAGUUCACUGCAUUCUAAAAGAAUACACAUUUCCCAUUUUUAUUCUUUAUGCCCCCGCAAACCUGUGUCCCUUAGUAGUGGGGUAAGCCCAUGUCUGUGUGCUAGCUCGCUAGAUCUGCACGCUACUGAUAUUUAAAUCACUUGAUCCUUUCAAAAUAGUCUAUGCAAACCCAGGUGACCCUCAGCCCAACAGACAUUUUUCUUCCCUAAUUGUAGGAGAGCCAAGUUCACUUUGUUCUUGGACCUUCCUCCUCACACUGCCCCACAUUUCCUUCUCUUUGAGGGGCAAUGGCAUGUAAGUCAAAGAUUCGUGGUCCAGGAGAAAGAACACUGGGCCCAGAGCCAGGUGACGAGGGGUUGAAUCCCAAUCUAGCUACUCAUUCAUCCAUCAUGGAGUCUUGGGGAAAUCUCUCUGUCUUUCUAGUCUUCCAUUACCCCACAGGACUGUCAUGGAAUGCAGUCAGCUCAGUGUGGCAUGCUUGGCUUUUCCCUGGGAGAAUGCCACAGGAAGCCCAAGGCAGGGGCAAGCAAGGCUAGGUCUGCAGUGUGGCCACAUAGCUAGCCCCCGCUAAGUCUCCUCCAGCAGUUCCCCACCUGCCGGGGUAGAGGAUGCAUCAUCCCUGAGCAGCCUGAGCUGGCUAAGGCCCACAUUUUUUGCCACAACCCCUGCUCUAAUUAAAAAAAAGAGUAUUGCUACCUAGGAUAUGAUUCAUAAUACUUAAUAAUAGUAAUAACUCCAAACACGCUAUUCUAAGUUCUGGACUAGACUCUGAAACUGAAUUAGUUUCAGUUUUCUGCAUUUCCCUUUCCCCAUGUGUAAACUCAGGAAGGUGGAUCACGUAGUCAGUCCUCUUUUAACACCGAGUUCUUCCACAUCUAAGCACUGUCUUUAAUACUUAUGGGGGAAUAACUACUCAGGUACAAUUUGCAACGCCCAUUUUAUGGAAUAAGAAACGGGCUCUGACUGGUUCACAGGGGCAACAAGCCACGGAUCUGGUUUCCAGCCAGGCAGUCAGACUCCCAGCUGCUCGGACUUCCUUCAGUAAGUGACUUCUAGGGGCAGAUUUACCCCCAGGAUAGGGACUCCUCAUCCCCUCAAAGCUCAGCUUUUAGGAUGUGAGAAACAGUGAACACACUUCUCAGGUAACUUCCAAUGUUGUUUUCUGCAUUUACUUGAUGAAGCAGGUGCCCCAGGCAUCAUUAUGGGAUGUGACUGUUCCUUACUUGGUCUUUGUCGGUUAGCUUUAAAAAUCCCCAAACACAUAUUGGUGUAAAAAGGCAACCUUUUGUCUUCUGUUUGGGUUAUGUCUCCUUUGACUUCUGAGCAUAAGAAUGACUGUGAUUGCAAAAAGACAAAGAUGUUGAUUUUAUAAACCACGAACUUAUGAACCAUUCUGCUGCCCUCCUGUUGCUGCUGAUAAAGACCUCAUCAUUUGGAACAGCAUUUAAAGAGACAGACAUACCAGACAGCUAUUCAGAGCUGUGCUGUUUUGAAAGGAGAGGUUGGUUCCUUUGAAGCCACAGUGCCUGAUUUUGCUUUCUGAGGUGUGUGUGCAGCUCCUCUAAAUGCUAGCUUUGUGUGCACAUCUGAGGGUGGAUUUCUGGCUCGGAAGAAGAUAUGACGCAGUGAUGAGGGUGUGCCUGGUGCAACCAGAGCUGAGUUAUUUUCCUGUCCCCCCCACACCCCGCCCUUUCCUCCUCUGCAGGAUCCCUGUGCUCACCUAGAGAUAAGGGAGCACAGAGGUUUCCCUGGAGGCUGGAGGCCCACCUCCUUGGCAGUCCGGGCAGCCUGCAGGCCAGGGACUGGGCCUGCUUCCCCCACAGUCUCCUAUUUCAACAGAAACCCCUGCUUGAAUAAAGCCUGAGAGGAAAUGAGUUCAGAGGGAGGGAGGUGCCUCAUUUCCAGAAAAGGCUUCAGAUUCAGACUCUGACUUCACCUGUCCCUCUCCCUGUGAAGGGCCCAUUGAAAUCAACGCAUCCUUCUCCUUGGCGCAGCCUCCAAGUCACCUAGAAGCUCCUUCCUUGUCUUCCUGCCUGGCCCCAGUCUCCAUGACAACCCCAUGAAGCAAGCACCACUUCUAGGCCCAUUUCAUGGAUGAAGAAGUGAGGUGUAAACAUAAGUUAUCUGUCAACUUCACACAACUGGGAAUUUGUCAAAUUAAGAUCCAAAAUAUAAUUUUUUUUGGACUCCUUGUGA